GUGCAGUUAGCAUAUUUUCUUCACUGGCAGCUGUGACCUAUGGAUUCCCAGGGGAUGCCUGCUGAAUUAGGGUCUGGGAUAAGGAAAUGAGUUAGAGGAGAGAAGUUUGGGAGGGAAUAUCUCUGUAUCCCCUGGAGAUGGAGCCUGAGAUGAGCAGAAGCCACAGAAGAUUGUCUGAUGCAGAGCUGUGACUCUUUAUCCAUGGAGACAUCUUACUUAUCCUGGUCUGAAUAGAAGUUCACAUGUGAAUCUACAGAAAAAUUAAUCACAAAAGCAGGGAGUUCGUGGGGACUGUGUACCAAAUCCAGAUGUUUCAUCACUGAACUAUGCUUUCAGUCUGCUAAGCAUAACUGUAAGCAUUGGAAAUUGUGACAA
rnacentral:lncRNA from 1 species